rnacentral:rRNA from 1 species
UACGUAGGGUGCAAGCGUUAAUCGGAAUUAUUGGGCGUAAAGGGCGCGUAGGCGGCCUUGCAAGUCGGUUGGUGAAAGCCCGGGGCUCAACCCCGGAGGUGCGGCCGAGACUGCAGGGCUGGAGGCCGGAAGAGGAGGGUGGAAUACCCAGUGUAGAGGUGAAAUUCGUAGAUAUCAAGCGGAACACCGGUGGCGAAGGCGGCCUUCUGGAUAGUGACUGACGCUGAGACGCGAAAGCGUGGGGAGCAAACAGG